ACGAUUGGGAUCGAAGAUGAUUAGAUACCAUUGUAGUCCUAGCCAUAAACGAUGCCGACUUGGGUUUCGAGGAGCACUUUUUUUAUGUCUUCUCGAGCACCAAAUGAGAAAUCAAAGUCUUUGGGUUCCGGGGGGAGUAUGGUCGCAAGGCUGAAACUUAAAGGAAUUGACGGAAGGGCACACCAGAAGUGGAGCCUGCGGCUCAAUUCGACUCAACACGGGAAAACUUACCAGGUCCAGACUUCGUAAGGAUUGACAGAUUGAGAGCUCUUUCUUGAUUCGAAGGGUGGUGGUGCAUGGCCGUUCUUAGUUGGUGGAGUGAUUUGUCUGGUUGAUUCCGUUAACGAACGAGACCUCGGCCUACUAACUAGUGCCGCGAAUCUUGCGAUUCGUUAUUAUUUGGCGCUUCUUAGAGGGACAAUUCGGUUUUACCGGAAGGAAGUUCGAGAAUCUC
rnacentral:rRNA from 1 species